rnacentral:rRNA from 1 species
AACGAACGCUGGCGGCAUGCCUAACACAUGCAAGUCGAACGAGACCUUCGGGUCUAGUGGCGCACGGGUGCGUAACGCGUGGGAACCUGCCCUUAGGUUCGGAAUAACUCCCCGACAGGGGUGCUAAUACCGGAUAAUGUCUUCGGACCAAAGAUUUAUCGCCUUUGGAUGGGCCCGCGUUGGAUUAGCUAGUUGGUAGGGUAAAAGCCUACCAAGGCGACGAUCCAUAGCUGGUCUGAGAGGAUGAUCAGCCACACUGGACUGAGACACGGCCCAGACUCCUACGGGAGGCAGCAGUGGGGAAUAUUGGAAAAUGGGCGAAAGCCUGAUCCAGCAAUGCCGCGUGAGUGAUGAAGGCCUUAGGGUUGUAAAGCUCUUUUACCCGGGAUGAUAAUGACAGUACCGGGAGAAUAAGCUCCGGCUAACUCCGUG